rnacentral:lncRNA from 1 species
CAGGCGGAGGAUUAGCCAAGUGAGCCGCGGCGCUGGCCAAAGGUUUGGUUUUGAAUAUAUGAACAGCAAGCAGAUAUACCGUCUACAAUUUGCUGUUAAUGAUUUUUCAACUUUACAAUGGUUGCAAAAGCAAUAUGAAUUUAGAAGAAACUGUAUUUCAAAUUUGUAAUUUUGUCUUUUUUUCUGAACUAGUGCAACAUGAUCCCCUCUUGUAAUGCUGGGCUUGGCAGCAGCAGCCACAGCUACAGAUCAGCCCCACAGCCCUGGAGGAAACCCACGAUGCUCUACAGCGUGUUGCGGUACUCAGCCGUGACAUUUGGCAUGGAGAAAAACAUCAACUACUUACCCAGAGCAACCGUGGACGAAUAUAUAUGAUAUCAGCAUCAGUUUUAGAUCGACUAUUUCAGUGAUGCCUAAAUAGAAGUUGAAAUCAUCCACAUUUGGAGGUGAGCAAAACUUUCUUACUGCAAUUUUAUGAACUUCUCUUUUCUUUUGACUUCAACUACAACUAUCUAAAUUAGUUAGUUAGAAAUGACCCCACCAAAUACCUUCACCCAGAAGAGUACUUGCCUGGGGCACAUGGUACAUCAAAGCCAGGUCAAAGAAGCCAAGGAAAAGAUGACUGUCACAAUCUCAAAUCCAUAAGCAUACCAAGUGAGAGAAAGAGAAUCCAAAAAAAGACUAACAAACUCUCAAAACACAUGGGGACAAUGAAAAUGCAGCAUUCUAGUCACACACAAAUGCCUAGUAAUCUCUGACCCUAAGUACAGAAUUAUUUUUCCUAACUCCUUUAAUAAUUGUUUUUCUGGUGCUAUAAUUGUGCUUUUUCAUAUUAUCAAAGAUGGGUUUUUCUCUCUCCUAUUAAAUUCUAUCAGCUAAGUGAAAUUAUAACAAAAUCCUAUGUUUGUCUUUUGUCCAUGUAACACAGUGGCUCUCAACCAGAGACAAUUUUGUUCCCUAGGAGACAUUUGACAAUGCCUAGAGACAUUUUCGGCUAUUACACUUGAGAGUCAGGGAGCUACUAUUGACACCAGUAGGGAAGCUACUAAAUGUAGUGCUUCCUCCUCCUCCAAAACCUGCCUUCCAAAGCAAUUAUUGGGUCAGUAUUCAAGUUCCCAUGUCUACCUACAGAAAACUUGGGAUAUUUACCACCUGCUCUGAGCCCCAGAUUCACACACUAUGGACAUGGAAAUGCAAUACUCAGAUUCUUUUUUGAGGAAAGAAUCAGUGUCCCAGCUGCUAGAAUCCAUCAGCAAAUAGCCUCUAGUUGCUAGAUUCUUCAAGGUUUGCUUCUGCAAACUUUGUUAGAUUGCAGGGACCUGGCCAGCAAAGGCAAUGCCCUUCCAGGGGUAGACCACAACUGUUGACUGCAGCA